rnacentral:RNase_P_RNA from 2 species
GCGGAAGGCCGGAUGGCCGCGGGCCGCAAGGUUCGAGGAAAGUCCGGACUCCCUGAAGCAACGGUGCCGGGUAACGCCCGGGCGGAGCAAUCCGACGGAAAGCGCCACAGAGAUCAGACCGCCUUGCAUGCAGGGCGAAGGUGAAACGGUGGGGUAAGAGCCCACCGCGCCCCCGGCAACGGGGGUGGCAUGGCAAGCCCCACCGGGAGCAAUGCCGAAUAGGGACCGCAUCAUGGGGCGCUUCACCCCCGCGGUCCGGGUUGGCAGCUCGAGGCGUCCCGGCAACGGGUCGCCCAGAGGAAUGGUCAUCCACGGGGGACAACCCCCGGGACAGAAUCCGGCUUACAGGCCUUCCGCGCAG